rnacentral:rRNA from 1 species
UACGAAGGGGGCUAGCGUUGCUCGGAAUUACUGGGCGUAAAGGGCGCGUAGGCGGAUGUUUAAGUCAGCGGUGAAAGCCCAGGGCUCAACCUUGGAACUGCCAUUGAUACUGGACAUCUUGAGUACGGGAGAGGUGAGUGGAACUCCGAGUGUAGAGGUGAAAUUCGUAGAUAUUCGGAAGAACACCAGUGGCGAAGGCGACUCACUGGCCCGUUACUGACGCUGAGGCGCGAAAGCGUGGGGAGCAAACAGG